AGAACACACUAUGGCCACGCCUUUAAGAAGAUGUUGGCAAACAGGUCUGGCGUGGUGCCUUCCUAUUGGCUGAUUUAAUCCUGUCUCAGCCAACUACAUUCAGAGGAGCCACUGUCUUGGAGUUGGGGGCAGGGACUGGGCUGACCAGCAUAGUCAUGGCAACGGUGGCCAAAACAGUGUACUGCACAGACGUUGGGGAGGAUCUACUGAGGAGAUGCCAAGAACGU